rnacentral:rRNA from 1 species
AGUGAACGCUGGCGGUAUGCCUAACACAUGCAAGUCGAACGGCAGGACAGGAAGAUCGUGCCCUUACGGGUGGCGGCUGGCGGGCGGGUGAGGAAUAGAUCGCAAUCUACUUAGUCUGGGGUGAUAACGGGGGACAAGUUCUGCUAAUAGCUCAUAUGACCUACGGGUUAGAUCAAGAGAGCUUCGCACUCUUGCCGACUCAAAUAGCCGAUGCCGGAUUAGCUAGUUGGCGAGGUAAAGGCCCACCAAGGCGACGAUCCGUAGCGGGUCUGAGAGGAUGAUCAGCCACACUGGAACUGAGACACGGUCCAGACUCCUACGGGAGGCAGCAGUGGGGAAUAUUGGACAAUGGGCGCAAGCCUGAUCCAGCAAUACCGCGUGAGUGAAGAAGGCCUUCGGGUUGUAAAGCCCUUUUGUUGGGAAAGAACAGCAGCAGGUUAAUACCCCGCUGUUCUGACGGUACCCAAAGAAUAAGCACCGGCUAACUUCGUG